rnacentral:sRNA from 1 species
UCUACUUGUGGUAUCCACGCUGCCUCCGU